rnacentral:rRNA from 1 species
GGCGAACGGGUGAGUAACACGUGGGCAAUCUGCCCUUCACUCUGGGACAAGCCCUGGAAACGGGGUCUAAUACCGGAUAAUACUCCUGCCUGCAUGGGUGGGGGUUGAAAGCUCCGGCGGUGAAGGAUGAGCCCGCGGCCUAUCAGCUUGUUGGUGGGGUAAUGGCCCACCAAGGCGACGACGGGUAGCCGGCCUGAGAGGGCGACCGGCCACACUGGGACUGAGACACGGCCCAGACUCCUACGGGAGGCAGCAGUGGGGAAUAUUGCACAAUGGGCGAAAGCCUGAUGCAGCGACGCCGCGUGAGGGAUGACGGCCUUCGGGUUGUAAACCUCUUUCAGCAGGGAAGAAGCGAAAGUGACGGUACCUGCAGAAGAAGCGCCGGCUAACUACGUGCCAGCAGCCGCGGUAAUACGUAGGGCGCAAGCGUUGUCCGGAAUUAUUGGGCGUAAAGAGCUCGUAGGCGGCUUGUCACGUCGGAUGUGAAAGCCCGAGGCUUAACCUCGGGUCUGCAUUCGAUACGGGCUAGCUAGAGUGUGGUAGGGGAGAUCGGAAUUCCUGGUGUAGCGGUGAAAUGCGCAGAUAUCAGGAGGAACACCGGUGGCGAAGGCGGAUCUCUGGGCCAUUACUGACGCUGAGGAGCGAAAGCGUGGGGAGCGAACAGGAUUAGAUACCCUGGUAGUCCACGCCGUAAACGUUGGGAACUAGGUGUUGGCGACAUUCCACGUCGUCGGUGCCGCAGCUAACGCA